GGAGGAGCCUACACACAUACAGCGGAGCUCCAGAGGAGUUUCUCAGGAGGUGAAUCUCCUCAUAUUCCUUCACCUGAUGGUGUACCUGAUACUACAGUGACAACAAGGAAAGUAGUUCGGAGGCCAUGGACAACAAAGGAGGUCCUUGCUGUAAUGAGGCAUUUCAAAUAUCGGUCGUUUUCAAACCACAAAGGGUCGUUUGGCUUCAAAAUUGGAGUGCGAGAAAUGCAAGAAAGCAGAAUUUCCCAUUUUAGAAGGGCAAAUUUUUUUGUUUAAAAAGUGUCUUAGAUACUGUUUUUAAGAUAGUUGUUGCUGUUGAAAACUACUUCCAAUAGUCUCCUCACAAAAAUCCCUUUUGAUGGUUUUGAGUUCCAUAUCAAAGGGUGUGAAUACUUAUGUACCUAUUAUGUUUAAAUGUUUACAUUUUUAAAAGAUUUACAAAAAUGUCUGAAAACAUGUUUUCUCUUUGUCAUUAUGGGUUAUUUCGUGUAGAUUUUUUAAAAAGAAAACUAAACUCAAAUCGGAUUUCGAAUAUGUCUGUAACGUAACAAAAUGUGGGAAAAGUGAAGGGGUGUGAAUACUUUCUGAUGGCACUGUAUAUUUAUAUAUUGAUGACAGAUUGGCAAAAACAAAGCUGUCUUUAAAAUAUUGGUUACAUUAGAUUGAAAAGACAGGCAGAUUAUGUGUCCUUUUAUGCCUUUGAUUGUCCUCUUAAGACAGUAUCUGCUCAUGUUUGUGUUUGUGUAUGUGGUGUGUGCUGAUAAACCAUGCGUGUCCUUUUAAA